CUAAGGUAUGCCUCAGUACGGCGAGUGAGCGGCAACAGCUCAAAUUUGAAAUCUGGCCCUAGGCCCGAGUUGUAAUUUGCAGAGGAUGCUUUUGGUGCGGUGCCUUCCAAGUUCCCUAGAACGGGACGCCAGAGAGGGUGAGAGCCCCGUACAGUUGGACACCAAGCCUUUGUAAAGCUCCUUCGACGAGUCGAGUAGUUUGGGAAUGCUGCUCAAAAUGGGAGGUAUAUUUCUUCUAAAGCUAAAUACCGGCCAGAGACCGAUAGCGCACAAGUAGAGUGAUCGAAAGAUGAAAAGCACUUUGAAAAGAGGGUUAAACAGCACGUGAAAUUGUUAAAAGGGAAGCGCUUGUGACCAGACUUGCGUCCGGUGAAUCACCCAGCUCUCGCGGCUGGGGCACUUCGCCGGCUCAGGCCAGCAUCAGCUCGCUGUCGGGGACAAAAGCUUCAGGAACGUAGCUCUCUUCGGGGAGUGUUAUAGCCUGUUGCACAAUACCCUUCGGCGGGCUGAGGUACGCGCUCCGCAAGGAUGCUGGCAUAAUGGUCAUCAGCGACCCGUCUUAA
rnacentral:rRNA from 1 species